UGGGGAAUCUUGCACAAUGGGGGCAACCCUGAUGCAGCGACGCCGCGUGAGCGAUGAAGCCCUUCGGGGCGUAAAGCUCUUUCGACCGGAACGAUAAUGACGGUACCGGGAGAAGAAGCUGCGGCUAACUACGUGCCAGCAGCCGCGGUAAUACGUAGGCAGCAAGCGUCGUUCGGAGUUACUGGGCGUAAAGAGUGCGUAGGCGGUUUUCUAAGUUCGGUGUGAAAUCUCCCGGCUUAACUGGGAGGGUGCGCCGAAGACUGGGAAGCUGGAGUGUGGGAAAGGCAGGCGGAAUUCCUGGUGUAGCGGUGAAAUGCGUAGAUAUCAGGAGGAACACCGGCCGUGUAGACGGCUUGCUAGACCAUAACUGACGCUGAGGCACGAAAGCGUGGGUAGCAAACA
rnacentral:rRNA from 1 species